GCAGCCUGGAUAGCUCAGUUGGUUAGAGCAUGGUGCUGAUAAUGCCAAGGUUGCAGGUUCAAUCCCUGUAUAUUCCUGCA